rnacentral:ncRNA from 24 species
UUAAUAUCAUGUCAAUUAUGUUCCUUAUUUUUUAAGGCUAAGAGGGAAUUUGGUGAGAUACCAAAACGAGCCCGUCGCUGUAAUUGAGUUUUUUCUUGUUUUAUACCACUGGAUUUUUAUUUGGGAAGGUAAAGAAAUAUAAAUCAUAAGUCAGAAGACCUGCAUAAUUGAAUUACUCUAUC